rnacentral:rRNA from 1 species
GUGCUAAGGUAGCAUAAUAAUUUGUUUUUUGAUUGGGGACUAGAAUGAAAGGUUUUACCGAAAAUAAACUUUUUUUUUUUUGUCAUUAAUUUAAAAUUUUAGUAAAAAUGCUUUAAUUGGUUAAGGGGACGAUAAGACCCUAAAAAUUUGAGAUAAGUUUUUUGGUUGGGGUAAUCAUUAUUUUAAAAUUUUUGUGUUUAGCACCUUUUGUGCGGGGUGCUCACUAAGGGUAAAAUAGGGAGAAUUACUUUAGGGAUAACAGCACUAUUAUUUAAAUGAGUCCGUAUCUAAUAAGUAGUUUGUGACCUCGAUGUUGAAUUAAAGUUUCUGUUUGAAGUAGAAGGCUGGCGGGAGGGUUUGU